rnacentral:rRNA from 1 species
AUUGAACGCUGGCGGCAGGCCUAACACAUGCAAGUCGAGCGGUAGAGAGGUGCUUGCAUCUCUUGAGAGCGGCGGACGGGUGAGUAAUGCCUAGGAAUCUGCCUAGUGGUGGGGGAUAACGUUCGGAAACGGACGCUAAUACCGCAUACGUCCUACGGGAGAAAGCGGGGGAUCUUCGGACCUCGCGCCAUUAGAUGAGCCUAGGUCGGAUUAGCUAGUUGGUGAGGUAAUGGCUCACCAAGGCGACGAUCCGGUAACUGGGUCUGAGAGGAUGAUCAGUCACACUGGAACUGAGACACGGUCCAGACUCCUACGGGAGGCAGCAGUGGGGAAUAUUGGACAAUGGGCGAAAGCCUGAUCCAGCCAUGCCGCGUGUGUGAAGAAGGUCUUCGGAUUGUAAAGCACUUUAAGUUGGGAGGAAGGGUAGUAACCUAAUACGUUGCUACUUUGACGUUACCGACAGAAUAAGCACCGGCUAACUUCGUGCCAGCAGCC